rnacentral:rRNA from 1 species
CUGGCUCAGAUUGAACGCUGGCGGCAUGCCUUACACAUGCAAGUCGAACGGCAGCACGGGUGCUUGCACCUGGUGGCGAGUGGCGAACGGGUGAGUAAUACAUCGGAACAUGUCCUGUAGUGGGGGAUAGCCCGGCGAAAGCCGGAUUAAUACCGCAUACGAUCUACGGAUGAAAGCGGGGGACCUUCGGGCCUCGCGCUAUAGGGUUGGCCGAUGGCUGAUUAGCUAGUUGGUGGGGUAAAGGCCUACCAAGGCGACGAUCAGUAGCUGGUCUGAGAGGACGACCAGCCACACUGGGACUGAGACACGGCCCAGACUCCUACGGGAGGCAGCAGUGGGGAAUUUUGGACAAUGGGCGAAAGCCUGAUCCAGCAAUGCCGCGUGUGUGAAGAAGGCCUUCGGGUUGUAAAGCACUUUUGUCCGGAAAGAAAUCCUUGAUUCUAAUACAGUCGGGGGAUGACGGUACCGGAAGAAUAAGCACCGGCUAACUACGUGCCAGCAGCCGCGGUAAUACGUAGGGUGCAAGCGUUAAUCGGAAUUACUGGGCGUAAAGCGUGCGCAGGCGGUUUGCUAAGACCGAUGUGAAAUCCCCGGGCUCAACCUGGGAACUGCAUUGGUGACUGGCAAGCUAGAGUAUGGCAGA